GACGAACGCUGGCGGCGCGCUUAACACAUGCAAGUCGAGCGAGGCCCCGGGCUUGCCCGGGUGUCCUAGCGGCGAACGGGUGAGUAACACGUGAGGAACCUGCCCCGAAGACCGGGAUAACACCGGGAAACCGGUGCUAAUACCGGAUGUCCUCACCAGACCGCAUGAUCUGGUGAGGAAAUGGAUUCCGCUUCGGGAUGGUCUCGCGGCCUAUCAGCUUGUUGGUGGGGUAACGGCCUACCAAGGCAACGACGGGUAGCUGGUCUGAGAGGAUGUC
rnacentral:rRNA from 1 species